UCAGAUUUGAUCCCNUUGCGUCCUGAUAGAUGGGCACUUGAGAAGGGUGACCUCUCCAAAGCUGGUGCUGAAAAAAGCAGUUUGGAGGAGAAACAAAGAGCUGAAAAGAGAGAUCGAGAAGCAAAAGGCCAUAAUUUUAAGCCAAAAUGGUUUGAUAUGACCGAUGAAGUUACAACUACGCCAUGGGGAGAGUUGGAAAUAUAUAAUUUCAAUGGCAAGUACAGAGAGCAUCGAAAUACUGUUGAUACUUCAGAUGCAAUCGUCCUAGACGAUGUUCAGUCAAUAGAAUUUAAUCCAUGGCAGUAUGGUAAUUUGUCCGAGGAAUGAGAUCAUCCUGUAUUUGUUGUUUCAGUGUUUGGACUGCUUUUUGGUGAAAUGUAGAACUAGCUAUUUGUUAUGGGUAUGUAUACUAUGGUGUUAUAUUAGCAACUUUUUUCUAAGACAUAAUUUUGAGAGUCACAGGAUUUCUGCUCAUUGCUUGUAUGUAUUAUGUUUAGUGGCUUUUAAAAUUUUAUUGGGAAAUUACCCUAA